GGGCCUAUAGCUCAGCUGGUUAGAGCGCACGCCUGAUAAGCGUGAGGUCGGUGGUUCAAGUCCACUUAGGCCCACCA
rnacentral:tRNA from 35 species